rnacentral:rRNA from 1 species
UGGGGAAUCUUGCGCAAUGGGCGAAAGCCUGACGCAGCGACGCCGCGUGGGGGAUGAAGGCCCUCGGGUUGUAAACCCCUUUCGGCAGGGACGAAGCGAAAGUGACGGUACCUGCAGAAGAAGCUCCGGCUAACUACGUGCCAGCAGCCGCGGUAAGACGUAGGGAGCGAGCGUUGUCCGGAUUCAUUGGGCGUAAAGCGCGCGUAGGCGGCCGCGCAAGUCGGUUGUGAAAUCCCGGGGCUCAACCCCGGGACUGCGUCCGAUACUGCACGGCUCGAGGCAGGUAGGGGAGAGUGGAAUUCCCGGUGUAGCGGUGAAAUGCGCAGAUAUCGGGAGGAACACCGGUGGCGAAGGCGGCUCUCUGGACCUGUCCUGACGCUCAGGCGCGAAAGCUAGGGGAGCGAACAGGAUUAGAUACCCUGGUAGUCCUAGCCGUAAACGUUGGGCGCUAGGUGUGGGGGGAUAUCGACCCCCUCUGUGCCGAAGCUAACGCAUUAAGCGCCCCGCCUGGGGAGUACGGCCGCAAGGCUAA